rnacentral:SRP_RNA from 1 species
UCGUGCUAGACGGGGAACUAGCGGUGCCUCGAUUCCUUUACAGGAUGACCCGAAAUCCGCUAUAGCGGGGUUGAAUCCCUUGCAGAGCAGCGGGCGUAUUGCACGGUGCGGAUCACGUGGCAUUGAAAGUCGGAUCCGACGCAGCAGGAGCCCGUGAACCCCGCCAGGACCGGAAGGUAGCAACGGUAAGCGGUCACUUUUGGGUGCCGUCGGGGCAUCUGGCUGGAGCAAGCGAAUUCGCGCACGGUGGGAUGCUCGCCGCGAAGUAAGGUGCACGA